CCUACGGGUGGCAGCAGUGGGGAAUAUUGCACAAUGGGGGAAACCCUGAUCCAGCAACGCCGCGUGAGUGAUGAAGUAUUUCGGUUUGUAAAGCUCUUUCAUCAGGGAAGAAGAUGAUGGUGCCUCAUUAAGAAUCCGCGGCGAACUACUUGGCAGCAGCCGCGGAAAUACGUAGUGGGCGACCGUUGUUCGGAGGUACGGUGUGUAAAGGUGGCGUAGACGGUUGGUCAACUCUGAAGUGAAAUCCCAUGGCGAAACCAUGGAACGACUUUUGAAACUGUGGAGCUGGAGUGCAGGAGGGGCAACCGGAAUUCCUAGUGUAGCGGUGAAAUGCGUAGAUAUUAGGAGGAACACCAGUGGCGAAGGCGGGUUACUGGACUGUAACUGACACUGAGGCACGAAAGCGUGGGGAGCAAACAGGAUUAGAUACCCGGGUAGUC
rnacentral:rRNA from 1 species